rnacentral:rRNA from 1 species
GACGAACGCUGGCGGCGUGCUUAACACAUGCAAGUCGAGCGGUAAGGCCCUUUCGGGGGUACACGAGCGGCGAACGGGCGAGUAACACGUGGGUGACCUGCCCUCAGCUCUGGGAUAAGCCUGGGAAACCGGGUCUAAUACUGGAUAUGACUCCAUGACGCAUGUUGUGGGGUGGAAAGCCUUGUGCGGCUGAGGAUGGGCCCGCGGCCUAUCAGCUUGUUGGUGGGGUGAUGGCCUACCAAGGCGACGACGGGUAGCCGGCCUGAGAGGGCGACCGGCCACACUGGGACUGAGACACGGCCCAGACUCCUACGGGAGGCAGCAGUGGGGAAUCUUGCGCAAUGGGCGAAAGCCUGACGCAGCGACGCCGCGUGA